UUUGUAAUCUAUGUCGUGUUGUGAAUCACUUUGCAUUAUUUUCAACCAUGUGUUUUUAUUAUGUCAAUUUGAUUCUGUUUAAAUUCAGUGUUUUAAUGUAUGAUUAAUGACCUAAAUCGCUGAUAAAAUUAUUUGCAGGCUUUCGAUGUCAAAGAAACACUAAUUAGGAGAUGAAAGGUUAUGUGAAUUUUUACUGUACAAAAUCGUUCUAUAUUUUAUGGCGGUACGAAGUAACUUGGGCAAUAGAUUGCUAAUGGAAAUUGUGAGCAGAAUGUUGAAUUUGUAUUGCAAGGACACACUUAUUUCGAUAUGAAUGACGACGG